UGGUUACCUAUUUGCUGACAAUAGGUAAAGACAACUGUUGUGUCUGCUGCUGGCGUUCUGCAUCCUGAUCAUUCUGCUCACCUGGCAGGUGGAGCUAAUGACCUUCAUCAGGUGUUUCCGUCAACCAGGCAAAGCAGGAGGCGGAGCAGCAGGUCUUUGAGUUUUGCUGGACACAGUUUCCUCUUCUCUUAAUAAAACUGUGUUCCUCGUGUUCUUGGCGUCCGGUUUCAGAUGUUACGGUCCUCUUUUGGACUUCCCCGUAGACUGAGGCCGGUGUGACUUUUGGGGUCGUAACAACAACUCUGACAAAAAUGUCCAAGACUUUCUAACAUCAUCAAUCUCAGCUGACGGUUGGCUAAUAAAAGUGAACAUAUGGCUUCCCA